ensembl:lncRNA
GGGGGAGCGAGGGUGUCCCCGGCCGGAAAGGCGUGAAGGGCCAGAAGGGAGAGCCAGGGCCGCCAGGCCUGGACCAGCCGUGCCCUGUGGUACGUGUGGAGCUGGAUGGGGCCCAGCCCGGCCUUGGCCUGUAUCAGUCGGCUGACACCUCCCCGCCCCGGGUUAGCUGCAGGUCCCAGGUGCUGGGUGCCCAUGGCCAUCUCGGUCAUUGCUGCUCCCCCAGCCACAUCUGGGGUCAUGGCCUCCUCUCUGGAGAUGGAAACCCUGCCGGGGCCCUGUUCCCUUCCUACCACAGCCCCGGGGGGGCCCGGCGUGAGUGGGGACCCAGCUCAGAGGGGCUGAGCCAGGAGCGGAGCCCCGAGGGGUGGGGAGGUGACAGUCCUGGACGAGCCACAAGGGUACAGGGUCAGGGAGAGCCCAGCUCCUGGGCUGGCUGCCCGGGCCCCGGCUGGGGGCUGACCCCUGUGGUCCCGGGCCAGGCUGGGGUGGGCCCAGGCUCCCUCAGGCCCUGCUCCCCAAGGCCUCCUUGCUCCCACGUCCCCCACUUGCCAAUCCCUUGCCUCUCCCCGCUUUCCUGCCCCUCCCAGUAGCCCCUGGUAGCCCACCAGGUCCACGCUGGCCCAGUUUGGCAGCAGGCAGGAGUGUCCAGGGCAGCUCAGCCGAGACAGGAAAACGAAACGGCCGGGUCUGCAGCUCACACUGGCCAGAUGUUUGUACCUGGCCACCCCCCGGGGGGCUGGGGACAGGGGUGUGCAGGCUCACCCAGCACCAGGGACCCCACCUGGUCCCCUGGCCUCCAAGCCUGGGUCCCCCCUAGGUGGUCGGAGAGCCCCAUGACAAAAGAGCCCAAAGGACAGAGAGGAGGGCACCACAGAGGCCGGCCGGCCGCAGCUGGGGGCAGUGCGGCCCGGUUCCAGCCUCACCCUCACCCUGCCUGGGCAGCUCCCUGCCAGCCUCUGUCUCUGCACAGGACCGCCCCCGAUGCGGAGGCAAGCAGGGCCCACCCGGGUCCUGGGGCCCAGCGAGGGGCAGCGGGCCCUGCCCUGUGGGACAAGAUGGGCUGCCCGUGCCUGGCUGCUGGCAUAAGUGACCCUCCAGCCCAGCGCACAACCUGUACAGAUCCGUGUGAACCUUUUUAAUUCUUGUAAAAACAAAACAGUAAUAUAUUGAUCUUUCGUGGAACGCACCACUGUGGCCUGUAAACCUGGCCGGUGCCACCCAGCCCAGCGGGCAGCACGGGCAGCAUGCAGGACGGGGUGCACUUGUGGCACUGUGGGGCUCUGCUUGCCCAGGAAGGAGACGACGGUGACCGCACCUGCUCGGUUGGGUUUCCGGUCACCGGAUUAGCAGACUUGGCCCCCGCUGCCUUGCAAGAGCUGUCCCCAAAGCCAGGAGUCCCAGGACACACCGGAUCCAGCCAGACCCCCUUGGCCUGCUGCUCUGGCCUCUCCAGCCUCCAGACUUCGCCACAGCUGGCCGCCUGGACCCUGGCUCACCCAGGCAGGACACAACUCUGCCGGGUACUUGGCACUGGACCAGGGAGGCUCUGCAGAAAGCACCAGUGCUGGUCUGGCUCCCUCUGGAAACUGGGAGCAGGGCCCAAGACAGAGCCCGCUGUGGGGUGGUGGUCGCCGGGCAUCGGACAGAGAGCCCCAGGCUGCGCUGGCUACUUCACGUCCUCACAUCUCUCGGAGAGGGAUGGGGCACUGGGCUGCCUGAGGAGACGUCCCCCACCCAGGGCUGUGGGUCAGCCUGGCAGCACGGGGCCGCCAGUGAGGGGUGCAGUGGGGCGAGUGCAAGGCUGUCCGGCUCCUCUCCCCAUGUGUAACAGGUGUGCUCAGGUAAUAAACGCCACCGUGUGUGCUACGCCUGUCCUUGUGGGUGGCCCUGGCCACCUCAGGCACUGAGCGCUGGAGAGACAGGGACCCUCUUGUGUCAGAGCCACGCCAGAACCAGAGGAGGAAGCACGGGACUGGGGCCCAGACGGGGCAGUUAGGAAGACAGCUCCACACCUGGGCCUGCCACAGUCCGCAGAGACCUUUGGCCUGUUGCUCCAGGUCACUGAGCUGCUCUUGGCCUCCUGCACUCUGGUUGCCAGUGAAUGCUGCGUGCAGAUCACCCCAAAGCUUGCGACCUUAAAAUAUGGCCAAGGGUGAUGGUUCGCACCUAUAAUUCCAGGACUCAGGAGGCUGAGGCAGGAGGAUCCACACGAGUUCGAGGGCAGCCUGGGCUACAGAGUGAGUUAAGUUCAGCCUGAACUGCAUAGAGAGACCCUGUCUCAAAAAGUAAAACAUUUCGGGGCGGGGGCGAAUGGACUCAGGCGGGUAGUUCUCACUCAGUCUCCCACAGCUGGUGGCCGAUGGUGCCCGUCCACUAGGAGCAGGACAGCCAGAACACCCCUUGGGUUCUUCCUCACUUCGUGGUGGCUGGAUUCUGAGGGUAAACAAAUCAGGUGGGUCCGGGGAAGCUGUCAGCGGUGACCAAGCCUGCAAAGUCGUAUGGGUCCCUUCCUGACAGUCAGAGGUUCGGCCCAACCCGAGGAGGAGGCAGAUGCCCCUCUCGAAGCACAUUUGGGGAGAAAAGGCAUAGAAAAGCUGCUCGACCAGCCCAGGGGCCACCAGAGGAGCCGGAACGGGGAAAAGCAAGGAGCCACAGGCGGGCUGAGCCAGCAGGAGAAAUGGCCCCAGUGCACGCCUCCUACGCGGCCCAUUCCGGUUCGCUCGUGGCCUCCCCGCCCCUCGGGAAGCCCCCACCCCCCUCGAAGCUCCGCGGGGACCGAGGCUCGGGGCGGGCACCCGGAUGGGGCGGCAGCGAGGGCCUGCAGCCUGGCAAAGGCUGGGCUCUGGCCUGUCCUUUCGAAUCGUUUGGCAGGGGGGUGACCGGGUCUGGCAGGCAGAUCUUGGAGGGGUCGAAGCCUCGCGCGCUCCUCCGCCUCAGGUUCCACUUGGCCCGUUGUGCCCCCUCGUGGCUGCAGACCAACCUGCAGCGCCAGGGCGGUUGGUCGGAUGAGGCUGUGGGAGAUGUCCCAGGGCCCAGGGGGAUAACCUCCCUGCCCGCAGCUGAGCUUCAAGGGCGGGGGCGCUGGGCCCCUCACUACCCUUCCGAAGGGAGAGCGGCACAUUUACCGCGUCUUGCUGUGUGCUGUGACAUCUAAACUAAUGGCCAGGACCACAGUCCCCCCCUUUUUCAGUACUGAGAUUGCACCCAGGGCCUUCACACUGGGCUGCAUUCCCACCCCUUUAAAAUUUUUUUUUAAAAUUUUGGGAUAGAGUCCCGGUAAGUUGCCCAAGCAAGGCUCAACCUUUUGAUCCUCCUGCCUCGGCCUCCCAGAUUGCUGAGUUACAGGCCUGUGCCACCACACCCAGCGCAUGCUGCCCUUUCACAGGAGCCUGAGGCCGGAAAGGUCAGCUCACUCAGGCUCCUUCCCCUAUCCCUAAGACACUGCAGGAAGCACAGGGGUGCUCUAGGUUGUCUUAGUGACGAGGUCACGCCGGGCGUCCUGUGGGCAGGGCCAGGGAGGCAGCCCAGGAGAAACGCCAGGAGAAACGCCCCGCUCGGCCCAGCGGCGCCUCGCCCUCCCCCGCAGGGGGCUGCGGUGCUGCCACCAGGCCGGGUGGGAGUUUAGGCGCAGCAGCCCUGGAGGUGCGGCCCAGCGGGCACUGCCGGGCGAGAAGCCGGCGCGCUGAGCAGACCCCGGCCCGUCACACGCACAGAGGUACACGCAGCCGCUCCCCCAGGGUCGUGUAAAACGUUGGCUCAGCUGAUACUACAGAUCACGAGACCCACUCCAUUUGGAAAGACGCAAAAAUCCUGCGGCCGGUCGCACGCCAAUGGGAUGUACUUGACGCCACAGAACCGUGCCUUUGCGAUGGUUAGCGCUCCAUGCUGUGUAUAUUUUACCACAAUAAAGAACGCGAGGCUCUGAGAAUGCGCCUUAAGUGCCUUAAGCGUGUUCGCCUGGGGAGAAGCCGCGCCCAGAGGGUGGCUCCGCUCCCGCGCCAAGCAGAACCCCGCUCCGAGCCCCGGGCCUGGGGCGCCCUUGCUCUCCGUCCGCACGGCACGGGUCUCGGUGUCUCUGGACCUAGCAGGAGCCGGGUGCCCUGAAGGUCCGGCCCGGCUCGCCUCGUCGGCCCGCGCCCUCCGCCCUGCGUGCUGCUCCAGCCGGAGCCCGAGCUCUUCCUGUCAGGCCGGCGCCAGGCGGCGCUUCCCGCUCAGCGUCACGGGCGAGCCCGAGUCAUCCGGGCCGGGGCA